UACGGAGGGGGCGAGCGUUAUUCGGAAUUAUUGGGCGUAAAGGGCGCGUAGGCGGCUUGAUGUGUCAAAGGUGAAAUCCCUCGGCUCAACUGAGGAACUGCCUUUGAAACUGUCUGGCUUGAGGCCGGGAGAGGGUAGCGGAAUUCCCAGUGUAGCGGUGAAAUGCGUAGAUACUGGGAGGAACACCGGUGGCGAAGGCGGCUACCUGGACCGGUUCUGACGCUGAUGCGCGAAAGCGUGGGGAGCAAACGGG
rnacentral:rRNA from 1 species